rnacentral:rRNA from 1 species
AGCGAACGCUGGCGGCAGGCCUAACACAUGCAAGUCGAGCGCCCCGCAAGGGGAGCGGCAGACGGGAGAGUAACACGUGGGAACGUACCCUUCGGUUCGGAACAACCCAGGGAAACUUGGGCUAAUACCGGAUACGUCCGAAAGGAGAAAGAUUUAUCGCCGAGGGAUCGGCCCGCGUCUGAUUAGCUAGUUGGUGGGGUAAUGGCCCACCAAGGCGACGAUCAGUAGCUGGUCUGAGAGGAUGAUCAGCCUCACUGGGACUGAGACACGGCCCAGACUCCUACGGGAGGCAGCAGUGGGGAAUAUUGGACAAUGGGCGCAAGCCUGAUCCAGCCAUGCCGCGUGGGUGAUGAAGGCCCUAGGGUUGUAAAGCCCUUUCGGCGGGGAAGAUAAUGACGGUACCCGCAGAAGAAGCCCCGGCUAACUUCGUGCCAGCAGCCGCCGCAGUAA